UACGAGGGGGGCGAGCGUUGUUCGGAAUUAUUGGGCGUAAAGGGUGCGUAGGCGGUUUGGUAAGUCUUAUGUGAAAUCUACAGGCUCAACUUGUAGUCUGCAUGAGAAACUGGCCGGUCUGAGUAUGGGAGAGGUGAGUGGAAUUCCUGGUGUAGCGGUGAAAUGCGUAGAUAUCAGGAGGAACACCUGUGGCGAAAGCGGCUCACUGGACCAUAACUGACGCUGAUGCACGAAAGCUAGGGGAGCAAACAGG
rnacentral:rRNA from 1 species